GACGAACGCUGGCGGCGUGCUUAACACAUGCAAGUCGAACGGAAAGGCCCUGCUUUUGUGGGGUGCUCGAGUGGCGAACGGGUGAGUAACACGUGAGUAACCUGCCCUUGACUUUGGGAUAACUUCAGGAAACUGGGGCUAAUACCGGAUAGGAGCUCCUGCUGCAUGGUGGGGGUUGGAAAGUUUCGGCGGUUGGGGAUGGACUCGCGGCUUAUCAGCUUGUUGGUGGGGUAGUGGCUUACCAAGGCUUUGACGGGUAGCCGGCCUGAGAGGGUGACCGGCCACAUUGGGACUGAGAUACGGCCCAUACUCCUACGGGAGGCAGCAGUGGGGAAUAUUGCACAAUGGGCGGAAGCCUGAUGCAGCAACGCCGCGUGCGGGAUGACGGCCUUCGGGUUGUAAACCGCUUUCGCCUGUGACGAAGCGUGAGUGACGGUAAUGGGUAAAGAAGCACCGGCUAACUACGUG
rnacentral:rRNA from 1 species